UGUGAAUGUAUAUUCUGUGUGUAUUAA
rnacentral:sRNA from 1 species